rnacentral:rRNA from 1 species
UGCCAGACUCCUACGGGAGGCAGCAGUGAGGAAUAUUGGUCAAUGGACGCAAGUCUGAACCAGCCAUGCCGCGUGCAGGAAGACGGCUCUAUGAGUUGUAAACUGCUUUUGUACGAGGGUAAACGCAGAUACGUGUAUCUGUCUGAAAGUAUCGUACGAAUAAGGAUCGGCUAACUCCGUGCCAGCAGCCGCGGUAAUACGGAGGAUUCAAGCGUUAUCCGGAUUUAUUGGGUUUAAAGGGUGCGUAGGCGGUCGGAUAAGUUAGAGGUGAAAUACCGAUGCUCAACAUCGGGGCUGCCGCUAAUACUGUAGGACUAGAGAUCGGAUGCAGCAGGCGGAAUGUGUAGUGUAGCGGUGAAAUGCAUAGAUAUUACACAGAACACCGAUUGCGAAGGCAGCUUGCUAGGCCGGAUCUGACACUGAUGCACGAAAGCGUGGGGAUCGAACAGGAUUAGAUACCCCUGUAC